rnacentral:rRNA from 1 species
GACGAACGCGGGCGGCGUGCCUAAUACAUGCAAGUCGAACGCACGAAGUUGAAGAGCUUGCUCUUUAACCAAGUGAGUGGCGGACGGGUGAGUAACACGUGGGUAACCUGCCCAUUAGAGGGGGAUAACAUUCGGAAACGGAUGCUAAUACCGCAUAGUUUCAGGGAUCGCAUGAUUCUUGAAGGAAAGGUGGCUUCGGCUACCACUAAUGGAUGGACCCGCGGCGUAUUAGCUAGUUGGUGAGGUAAUGGCUCACCAAGGCAAUGAUACGUAGCCGACCUGAGAGGGUGAUCGGCCACACUGGGACUGAGACACGGCCCAGACUCCUACGGGAGGCAGCAGUAGGGAAUCUUCCGCAAUGGACGAAAGUCUGACGGAGCAACGCCGCGUGAGUGAAGAAGGUUUUCGGAUCGUAAAACUCUGUUGUUAAAGAAGAACAAGGAUGAGAGUAACUGCUCAUCCCCUGACGGUAUUUAACCAGAAAGCCACGGCUAACUACGUGCCAGCAGCCGCGGUAAUACGUAGGUGGCAAGCGUUGUCCGGAUUUAUUGGGCGUAAAGCGAGCGCAGGCGGUUCUUUAAGUCUGAUGUGAAAGCCCCCGGCUCAACCGGGGAGGGUCAUUGGAAACUGGAGAACUUGAGUGCAGAAGAGGAGAGUGGAAUUCCACGUGUAGCGGUGAAAUGCGUAGAUAUGUGGAGGAACACCAGUGGCGAAGGCGACUCUCUGGUCUGUAACUGACGCUGAGGCUCGAAAGCGUGGGGAGCAAACAGG